GACGAACGCUGGCGGCGUGCUUAACACAUGCAAGUCGAACGGAAAGGCCUGCUUUCUCUUGUGGAUUGCGGGUACUCGAGUGGCGAACGGGUGAGUAACACGUGAGUGAUCUGCCCCCAACUUGGGUAUAAGCCUGGGAAACUGGGUCUAAUUCCCGAUAGGACUGCAGGGUGGUGCCUGUGGUGGAAAACGAUCUUCUAGUGGUUGGGGAUGAGCUCGCGGCCUAUCAGCUUGUUGGUGGGGCAAUGGCCUACCAAGGCGGCGACGGGUAGCCCGCCUGAGAGGGUGGACGGCCGCAUUGGGACUGGGAUCCGGCCCAGACUCCUACGGGAGGCAGCAGUGGGGAAUAUAGCACAAUGGGCGGAAGCCUGAUGCAGCGACGGCGCGUGGGGGAUGACGGCCUUCGGGUUGUAAACUCCUUGCGACCGCGAGGAAGCCACCUGGUUGGAAGGGUGGUGACGUUAGUGGUAGAAGAAGCACCGGCUAACUACGUG
rnacentral:rRNA from 1 species